rnacentral:rRNA from 1 species
GACGAACGCUGGCGGCGUGCUUAACACAUGCAAGUCGAACGGAGAGGCCCUGCUUUUGUGGGGUGCUCGAGUGGCGAACGGGUGAGUAACACGUGAGUAACCUGCCCUUGACUUUGGGAUAACUUCAGGAAACUGGGGCUAAUACCGGAUAGGAGCUCCUGCUGCAUGGUGGGGGUUGGAAAGUUUCGGCGGUUGGGGAUGGACUCGCGGCUUAUCAGCUUGUUGGUGGGGUAGUGGCUUACCAAGGCUUUGACGGGUAGCCGGCCUGAGAGGGUGACCGGCCACAUUGGGACUGAGAUACGGCCCGGACUCCUACGGGAGGCAGCAGUGGGGAAUAUUGCACAAUGGGCGGAAGCCUGAUGCAGCAACGCCGCGUGCGGGAUGACGGCCUUCGGGUUGUAAACCGCUUUCGCCUGUGACGAAGCGUGAGUGACGGUAAUGGGUAAAGAAGCACCGGCUAACUACGUG